rnacentral:rRNA from 1 species
UUAAGUGACGAUAGCCUAGGAGAUACACCUGUUCCCAUGCCGAACACAGUAGUUAAGCCCUAGUACGCCUGAUGUAGUUGGGGGUUGCCCCCUGUUAGAUAGGGAAGUCGCUUAGC